GGCAACAGCAGAAGGAAAUCUUCCAUGUCAGUUAACCUAAUCCAGAUAAUCCCUCACAGGCAUGCCCAGAGGACUGCCUCCUAGCUAAUUCCAGAUCUUGUCAAACUAACAAUCAGUGUCAAGCAUCACAGUCAUGAACUAAGGAUUGUGGCUGAUAUAAUUCUGAACAGAGCCAUGCAUGUCUGUUGGACUGACCAGUCAUUGGUGACUUUCAACCAUGAUUUCAGAGAUCCCAGAAGAGUUUUCAUCAUAAGAAAUUAAUGUGAACAUUCUAUCUACUUUUUGAAAAUCUUACUGAAAAGAUAAAGAAACAGAUAAAAUGCUGAAGGAACACCUGGUGUCUUCUGAGCUAUUCUUCCCUGGCCCAACUCCCAGCUGUGCCAACAAUAUUCCUGAUGAUGUUGGGAAGGUUGACGUUAAUGCCCCUGUGAGAUUCUUCUGUCUGUGGAUGGAGCAUAGCAUGAUCUGGAACAUGCAUAGGGGAGAGACUGUAAGCCAUCAGUUGAGGAUUCUGAGGACAUGUAGCUCCCAUGUACUCAUCCCUCAAUUAUUAAUUGAAACCUCAGGAGUCUUCUGGAGCACCUGGGGAGUUAUGACAUCAUUUAUAACACAGUAGGUUUCAAAGAGACCUAAAGGUCUAGUGCAGGUUGCCAUAGAUGCGGUGAUUGCAGCCUCCAUUCAUAUGGAAGUGAUUCCACUGGAAAGACCGGAAGUAACUUUCAUUCAUAGUGAUGCCAGUGGGCAGGUGGAAAGUAGAGCUUUGAUCUUGUCAAGUUCCUAGUGCGUCUGGCUAAUUUCAA